rnacentral:rRNA from 1 species
UGGUGGAGUGAUUUGUCUGGUUAAUUCCGAUAACGAACGAGACCUUAACCUGCUAAAUAGCCACAUUCGGUUUUACUGGGUGCUUGACUUCUUAGAGGGACUAUAGACGUUUAGUCUAUGGAAGUUUGAGGCAAUAACA